rnacentral:rRNA from 1 species
AAUAUUGGACAAUGGGCGCAAGCCUGAUCCAGCCAUGCCGCGUGAGUGAUGAAGGCCUUAGGGUUGUAAAGCUCUUUCAGCGGGGAAGAUAAUGACGGUACCCGCAGAAUAAGCCUCGGCUAACUACGUGCCAGCAGCCGCGGUACAACGUAGGAGGCGAGCGUUAUCCGGAUUUACUGGGUGUAAAGCGCGUGCAGGCGGCCGUGCAAGUCGUGCGUGAAAGCGCCCGGCUCAACCGGGCGAGGUCGUGCGAAACUGCGGGGCUUGAGGCAGGUAGAGGCGUGUGGAAUUCCGGGUGUAGUGGUGAAAUGCGUAGAGAUCCGGAGGAACACCAGUGGCGAAGGCGGCACGCUGGGCCUGGCCUGACGCUCAGACGCGAAAGCAUGGGGAGCGAACGGG